CUCCGGAGGAGCUCAGCAGGUCAGAGAGCGUCUAUGGAGAGGAAUAAACAGUUGAUGUUUCCGGUCCCAACCCUUUAUCAGGACUGGAAAGGAAGGAGGAAGAGGCCAGAAUAAGAAGAGCUGCCUUCCUUUGGAAGAAAGGUCAAAUACAAGAUGCAACACACCAGCCACUUAGCACUGACAGUAGGAAUGACAAAGGAAUUUCUAUAAGUGAAAAUCAUCCAGAAACAAAAAAAAAACUAAACUCUACAGCAACUUGCUUUAACUGGUGUACUUUUCCAACGUCACUUCUACUGCUGAGAUCCCAAGAUGCCCAAAUGCAAAUUCUCCAAUCAAGGCAAAUCUAGUGCUUCCAGUUUGGACAAGACUGAUGCUAAGAAGGAUAGAACGAGCUCUAACCAAAGAAAGAUACAGUUCAAGUGUGUGAGCCAUUGCUACUGAAGUAUGUGAUACUGCCACUCGUCGACACACCACUUCCAAUUUACAUGCUCAAUAACCCACCUCUUUAGGAUGUGGCCAGAACUUGGACCCCCAGAGGAAACCCGUGCAGUCACAGGGAGAGCAUGCGAACUCCACACGAACAGCUAUUUCACUGUCCUGCUGCCACAAAACAACAAAUUUCAUGACAUAUAUCAGUAAUAAGAAGACCAUAAGACAUAGGAGCAGAACUAGGCCAUCUGGCCCAUUGAAUCUUCUCCACCAUUCCAUCACGGCUGAUUCAUUAUGCCUCUCAACCCCAAUCUCCUGGUAAUAAGCUUGAUUCUGAUUUUGAAGCAGCUGGUGUCCUGGCUCAAUGUCGCCAGUUUAAAUGUGACUCAAGCUUAACAAAAUUAGCACAUUUCUGAAUAAUAAAUGAGGUAU